UGCUGGGAAUUCUUCCAAAUAAGGUACAGUUCUAUCCUAAUUUCGUGAGUAUUGAAAAUUAAUAAUAUCGUUCUUCCCUUCUUAGUUCUAUCAUUGUUUUAGCAUAUUGCAUCAGCUUACCAAAUACUCAUAAAGUUAAUUGGGUUCAAGUCAAUAUUUUAUCCUCCAUUGGUAUUAUAUUUUACAAUCUGAUUAGAAUUUGAAUUUCUUGUGUGCACUUUGCUGUUGCUUCUUUUUGCUUCUCCAACUUUCUUCGCCCGUGUAUUACUGGCUGUAAACUUGAUGUUGAUGGGCUUUACCUUUACUAGUUUAUUUAAGACUAUAAAUUGUGUAAGCUUUAACAAUGUUUGUGCCUGUUGAGGACUUCAAAUUCUAUGCUCUGCAUUUACCAUAUCUGCAAUGCUUUUGGUAAAUGCUCUGGUAGUGUGGGUCUUUGUUCUAUUUUGACCUUGAGGUGUUUCUUUCCCUUUGUCUCUCUGUUUCUCUCUUGCAUGUACAUGCACACACGUGGAGGACACACUCAUGUUUUAAUUUAUUUUUUCAAAACUUGAAAACAUUGCUUCCUUUGGUUGCAGGCAGAAAAGAUAG
rnacentral:misc_RNA from 1 species